rnacentral:rRNA from 1 species
ACGUAGGGUGCAAGCGUUAAUCGGAAUUACUGGGCGUAAAGCGUGCGCAGGCGGUUCGGAAAGAGAGGUGUGAAAUCCCAGGGCUUAACCUUGGAACUGCACUUUUAACUCCCGAGCUAGAGUAUGUCAGAGGGGGGUGGAAUUCCGCGUGUAGCAGUGAAAUGCGUAGAUAUGCGGAGGAACACCGAUGGCGAAGGCAGCCCCCUGGGAUAAUACUGACGCUCAUGCACGAAAGCGUGGGGAGCAAACAGGAUUAGAUACCCUGGUAGUCCACGCCCUAAACGAUGUCAACUAGCUGUUGGGGCCUUCGGGCCUUAGUAGCGCAGCUAACGCGUGAAGUUGACCGCCUGGGGAGUACGGUCGCAAGAUUA